rnacentral:rRNA from 1 species
GGUUGCGCAGCAGCCCCUUUUAUGAGCGCUUCGCACUCAAGCGGGAGCAAGCUCCCUCGCCACAGGUUCGGGGCUCGCCAAUUGCGUAUGGGUAGAUCUCGAUUGGUCUACCCACCUUCCGAAAGAUUGGACGUUUGUUUGCCAGGACAUGGGGCUUAGGGUGGGUUCAUCGAGAACCACUCAACCAAAAGGUCCUACCGCCAUGAAAGCCCUCUACCUGAUCGCCGCCCUCAGCUUGCUGCCCGUUACCCCAGUGCUCGCCCACGACGCGGCCCCUUCGGAAAAGGUCAAUGUGUUGCAGGAAAAAGCGCUGAAAAACCUGCCCGGCAAAAAAGCCAUGAUGCUGACCGUGGACUACGCCCCGGGCCAAUCCUCCAUCGCCCAUAAACAUGAGGGCACGGCGAUGGCCUAUGUACUCGAAGGCGCCAUCACCUCCCAGGUCAAAGGUGAGCCGGCGAUCACUUACAAGGCAGGCGAAUUCUGGUAUGAAGCCGCAGGCUCCGAGCACCUGGUGUCGAAGAAUGCCAGCACCACCGAACCGGCGAAGCUGCUGGUGUUCAUGGUGUUGGGCGAGAAAGAAGCAGUGUUGAUUCCCCUGAAGAACUGACACGGGCUUGCUCGCAAGUGCAGUGGAUCAGCUGAUGAAGAGGUUGACUGGCCCACCGCCUUCGCGGGCAAGCCCGCUCCCACAGUGUUAUUGGGUGGGCUCAAGAUGUGUGCCCGCCCCAGAUUCUCUUGUGGGAGCGAGCUUGCUCGCGAAUGCAGUGGGUCAGCUGAUGAAGAAGUUGACUGACCCACCGCCUUCGCGGGCAAGCCCGCUUGUGUCUGAGUAAGGGAAUAAACUCUGGGGUGAGAGGGGUAGAUGGCAAGCUGUGAGUCCGCGGUGCUUGAAGCACGAGUGGGAGCAAAGCUGCCAUCUACCUUUCUACUCUGGCCCAUAAGCCCGAACAGUUGGACGAGCGGCACUCGAAUCACAAGCGUGGGCAAAGCCAGAGCACUCUCAUUUCUGAGUGUAAGAGGGUUUUGCCAUGAUUUCCUGGGUCGGUAUCGAUAUAUCCAAAUCAAAUCUCGUCGUUUGGGUUCGACCACAGAACCAAGGCUACGAGGUCCCCAAUACGCCUGAGGGUUUUGCACAGCUGGUCGAACAGCUAAGCCCGUACACGAUUGGCCGGGUGUUACUGGAAGCCACGGGCGGCUAUGAACGAAAGGUUAUGGCAGCACUGCAGGAGGCAGGUUUCAAUGUGCUCAGGAUCAACCCUCGCCGGGCUAGAGCCUUCGCCGUAGCAAUGGGCAAGAAUGCCAAGACCGACCCCAUCGAUGCGGCUGUUCUUGCCGAUUUUGCCGAAGCUCUGCAUGCGUCUCGUAGAGAAUACCAAGGCGCUUGAGAGAACUCGGGUGAAGGAACUAGGCAAAAUGGCACCGUAACUUCGGGAGAAGGUGCGCCGGUGAGGGUGAAGCACUUGCUGCGUAAGCCCACGCCGGUCGAAGAUACCAGGCCGCUGCGACUGUUUAUUAAAAACACAGCACUCUGCAAACACGAAAGUGGACGUAUAGGGUGUGACGCCUGCCCGGUGCCGGAAGGUUAAUUGAUGGGGUUAGCUAACGCGAAGCUCUUGAUCGAAGCCCCGGUAAACGGCGGCCGUAACUAUAACGGUCCUAAGGUAGCGAAAUUCCUUGUCGGGUAAGUUCCGACCUGCACGAAUGGCGUAACGAUGGCGGCGCUGUCUCCACCCGAGACUCAGUGAAAUUGAAAUCGCUGUGAAGAUGCAGUGUAUCCGCGGCUAGACGGAAAGACCCCGUGAACCUUUACUAUAGCUUUGCACUGGACUUUGAAUUUGCUUGUGUAGGAUAGGUGGGAGGCUUUGAAGCGUGGACGCCAGUCUGCGUGGAGCCAUCCUUGAAAUACCACCCUGGCAACUUUGAGGUUCUAACUCAGGUCCGUUAUCCGGAUCGAGGACAGUGUAUGGUGGGUAGUUUGACUGGGGCGGUCUCCUCCUAAAGAGUAACGGAGGAGUACGAAGGUGCGCUCAGACCGGUCGGAAAUCGGUCGUAGAGUAUAAAGGCAAAAGCGCGCUUGACUGCGAGACAGACACGUCGAGCAGGUACGAAAGUAGGUCUUAGUGAUCCGGUGGUUCUGUAUGGAAGGGCCAUCGCUCAACGGAUAAAAGGUACUCCGGGGAUAACAGGCUGAUACCGCCCAAGAGUUCAUAUCGACGGCGGUGUUUGGCACCUCGAUGUCGGCUCAUCACAUCCUGGGGCUGAAGCCGGUCCCAAGGGUAUGGCUGUUCGCCAUUUAAAGUGGUACGCGAGCUGGGUUUAGAACGUCGUGAGACAGUUCGGUCCCUAUCUGCCGUGGACGUUUGAGAUUUGAGAGGGGCUGCUCCUAGUACGAGAGGACCGGAGUGGACGAACCUCUGGUGUUCCGGUUGUCACGCCAGUGGCAUUGCCGGGUAGCUAUGUUCGGAAAAGAUAACCGCUGAAAGCAUCUAAGCGGGAAACUUGCCUCAAGAUGAGAUCUCACUGGAGCCUUGAGCUCCCUGAAGGGCCGUCGAAGACUACGACGUUGAUAGGCAGGGUGUGUAAGCGCUGUGAGGCGUUGAGCUAACCUGUACUAAUUGCCCGUGAGGCUUGACC